GAUGAACGCUAGCUACAGGCUUAACACAUGCAAGUCGAGGGGAAACGACAUCGCAAGCUUGCUUUUGAUGGGCGUCGACCGGCGCACGGGAGAGUAACACGUAUCCAACCUGCCCAUCACUUGGGAAUAAAAUUGCGAAAGUAAGACUAAUACCCAAUGAUAUCCCACGAAGGCAUCGGAAUGGGAUGAAAGAUGUAUCGGUGAUGGAUGGGGAUGCGUCUGAUUAGCUGGUUGGCGGGGUAACUGCCCACCAAGGGAACGAUCAGUAGGGGUUCGGAGGGUAACGCCCCCCACAGGGGAACCGGGCCCCUGGCCAAUCUCCUACGGCAGGCAGCAGUACGGAAUAUUGAUGAAUGGGCGAUAGCCUGAACCAGCCAAGUCGCGUGCAGGAAGACGGCCCUCUGGGUUGUAACCUGCUUUUAUAAGGGAAUAAAGUGGGUCACGUGUGACUUUUUGCCUGUACCUUAUGAAUAAGGACCGGCUAAUUCCGUG
rnacentral:rRNA from 1 species